UACGGGGGGGGCAAGCGUUGUUCGGAAUUACUGGGCGUAAAGGGCCAGUAGGCGGCCAACUAAGUCCGACGUGAAAUCCCAAGGCUUAACCUUGGAACUGCGUCGGAUACUGGAAGGCUUGAAUCCGGGAGAGGGAUGUGGAAUUCCAGGUGUAGCGGUGAAAUGCGUAGAUAUCUGGAGGAACACCGGUGGCGAAGGCGACAUCCUGGACCGGUAUUGACGCUGAGGCGCGAAAGCCAGGGGAGCAAACGGG
rnacentral:rRNA from 1 species